CCUUUUCUUUAUUGUUUAUGCCUACCACUAAUGAUAGUUUCAGAUAUGAGCAGAAACCAUAAUUUGGCAAGGUGAGACUUAAGUUCAACAGGUUCUUCCUUCUUUCACAACUGAAAAUGUGAAGUUCUUAAUUUGUUUAGCACUAACCACUGCCUGUUCGUUUCCUAGCAAACAUCUGCAAAUACAGAAAAUAAGGAUAAGCAAACCAAUGGCAGUGUUGCUCCAGAGCCAUGGCAUCAUAUAUCAUUUUGCAACAUCUAUAGUGCAAUUGUUCUGCCUUUCCACCAACCCUCUCAUCAAAGCUACUUUUGGUUAACUCAUUGUUCUCGUCUAUUACACUAAGCCUUUGUUCUGAUUUAGAACACUCUUUUUUUGUCUACCAUGCUGGCUUUUGCAGUUCAUCAGAUUUGUAUUCAACUGUUAUGCUGGCCUUUUCCAAUAUCAAUAGUCAAGAUGUUGAUGAACAUUCCAUGAAAUCUCUUCCAUGUGUUGGGUUGACAUAUUAGCUGGUGAUGCCAAUUUAACACCUAUUUUGUAUUCUUAUAUGGGGAGAAUUCCAUAACAAUCUAGCAUUGUCUGUAUUUCAGAAAGCAUGAAAUCUCCCAUUUUUACCAUUUAUGAAUCUGAUCAAAAGCAAUAGAAUUCAGCAUGAAUUACUUUUCACCAUGAAUUCUAGCAUGCUGCUAAAUAAUGUACAAUUUCAGAGUCAGGUUUUGAUAGCUUCCAUCUCCCUACUGAUUUCUCAUUACAACUGGAAGGUCUCAGUAUUUUGCAGUAAAUUUGGCUCAAGGGACUGAAUCAGCAUCAGCACUAUGGACUGCACACAAAUGUAGUGAAAGCAACACUGAAUCCUUAUCUAAACAAAUGUUAUUGCAAGGUUUGCAUGAAACAUGUAACCUAAUGGAAGCAUUUACUAUGGAUUCUUAUGUACUUUCUACAUUCAUUUUGGCUCAGUGGAAGUCAGAUUAGCAUUUAAUGUAGUCAAGGCAUCAGGCAAGCUCAAUACAAAUAAUUGCUUACAGAAAAAGUCUUUUUUUAUCAAAAAGGGGAAAAUAGAUCUUCUAAUGGAGAAACUAAUGCAUUACACAGAUUUGAAUGUGAGAAUGUGUAGUUUGAGUUUUAUUGCUGAUAUUGCCACAGUUCUUCACAUUAGCAUAUUUUUGAUUGACAUGGGGUUAAGUCUCCAAUAUUGUAAACACUAUCAUAAAAACAGUCAGCAAAACUAUGAUUCUGUGUGAGAAUUUCUUCUGGACACACAUGAUUGACCAGCUGCUACCAGGGAGUUAAGUGAUGACAGGGAAUACUUCUUUUGUAUCUUACAAACACCAGCAUGUAAAGCAGUUGUUAUUUCUUUCUAGGCCAUGGAUCUCACCCAUGGAAAGUUAUAUCUGCAUAGUUACCUGCUUUUGGUGAAUGUAUGUCUAAUGUGAUGAGCAAGUUUUGAACACUGAUAGGUACAAAUAAUCUGAUAAGUACAACAAGUUUUCAUUCCUUAUGUAUAAUGAAGACAUGAAAAAUUCAGUGUAAGAUAGAAAGUUGGUCCUGGCUAAGAAAUACAUGCAGGAAUUAAAGAUGCCAAGUCUGGUGUCCGUAUUUUCCUAAUGAUCCAGAAUAACUUUUGAGUGGUUAACAUUUUUAGCCGACAGUCAUAUCAGUUGCUUGCCCAGAACCAUAUGACACAUCUAUUUUUAUUUUUAUUUUUUUACUAUUGAUGUAUAAAUAUUAUUAGCGCUAGAAAAUGUUUAGUCUAUGCUAUUAGAUGCACAGGUUCAGAGAAGAUCCAGAAAGCACUUGCCAGGGAGUUAAGUAUUUCCUAGCACCCAGACUUGCUCUGCUUUCACAGUUAACAUCUGUGGUUUCUCAGAGCUCUAUAUUAUACUGUGGAAGGAAGGUUUUCCAUCUCCCUUUUUCCUAUUUGUAAAGUCCAGCCCCUGGAUUUAAUAUUGUAUUGAUGUAUACACUCUGCCUCCCAUCAACUAGUUGGGAACAAAAGCAAUCCAGAAAACAGUAGUAAGAAGCAAUAGAAUGACUUUGUGCAUUGAUAUAGACUCCUGGAAUUGUUAUGUAAACAGUUGCUAUGUCAGAAGUUGGAUAAAAAUAGAUGGUUUCUACUUUCCCAGUUGGCAUAACCACUGAAGAACAUCAGACAGGUUUUGUUUUUGUUUUUCAUUUUAUUACUGUUACAGACAGCUGUGGUAACUAACAUUAUCAAGGCUCUGGGAUUACAAAACAUUUUCAGAAAUAUUCCUUAAGUAGGGCUUGCUAAAGCAAAUUAAUUUUAUAUAUUCAAGAUGACUGAAGUUCUACAUGAUGACAAAACAAUUCUACAUCAUGGCACUUUGGCAAACUUAGUGCAAGGGCUAGAUAAUUAUUGGAGAAAGAUACAAGAUGGCUUGAUGAAUGUUAGCUUGUAUGUUUAUCUUUAUCUAGUUACAGAAUCCUUUGCUUGGUGAUACAUAUUAAACUAUGUGUAAUCAAAAAGAAAGUUCUUAACUAUAUUAUUCAUGUAUACAUGAAUAGAGAUACAGUAUUUUCAAGGAUCUUAACACUAGGGAAUGAUACAGUUUUGUCUGUCCUGAACAAUUUAGCCUGUUGCAAUAUAUUGGAAAAGGCUAUUUUUUUAUUAUGAAUAAUUGCUUAGUAGGGAAGGCAGAGAUGGGCAGGCUCAGAUCCUUUAAAAACAGAUUGUGUAUGCAAAAUUUAUGAUUUAUUUUAAAGCCCCCAUUUCUGAAUCAAAGAAGUCUUUUUGUUAUCAGGAAAUCUAGGAUCUUUGCCGAGCCUGUAUUCCUUCUGGCUAGAUGGAGCUCUCUUUACUAUCUUGCCCUUUAGUAUAUACAUUUGGCAUUUUUGCAACCUUGAGAACAGUGGAAAUCCUAAUUAACAAAGUAUAGGUGGUCCCUGAAUUACAAACAUCUACUUACAAAUGACUCAUUUAAGAAUGGGGAUAACAGGAAGUGAGAGAAAUCUGCCCCUAAGAAGAGAAAUUCACUCCUGAAAGAAAAAAGGGAAAAAAAGUGUCUCUACUGAAGCUUUAUCACCAAUCCUUGUUUCCACAACAAGCCAAAUUUUACAAAAUGUAGUUAUCACAUAGAUGGGAAGUGAGGUGAAGUCUUUUGAAGAGGGGCACAGACAACUACCAGAAAACACAACAGGGGUGUUAACUCUUCCCUAUGCUAUCCAAUAUGUAUAUACUGUAUGUAUAUAUGUAUACACAUACAGUAGAGUCUCGCUUAUCCAACCUUCGCUUAUCCAACACAGUCUGCCUCCUGCCUGGAUCCAUUGCUGUUUCUCUGGGCAGCAAGGAUUGAACUUUUUAUGGAUUUAACUUCCGACAAUGUUCUUACUGUGAGUUCAUUUUAUUUAAUUCUAUCUUUAUUUGUAGUCAAUUUAUUAGUAGUCAGUGUUUUGGUAGUCAAUGUUUUCAAUACAUUGCGAUGUCUUGGUGCUAAAUUCGUAAAUACAGUAAUUGCUACAUAACGUUAUCAUGUAUUGAACUGGUUUUUCUGUCAAUUUGUUAUCAAACAUAUUUUGGUGCUUAAUUUGUAAAAUCAUAAUGUAAUUUAUAUUUAAUAGGCUUUUCCUUAAUCCCUCAUUAUCCAGCAUUUUCGCUUAUCCAACAUUCUGCUGGCCUGUUUAUGUUGGAUAAGUGAGACUCUACUGUGUGUGUGUGUGUAUAUAUGUGUGUGUGUGUGUGUGUGUGUGUGUGUGUGUGUGUGUGGCUGGACUUACACUUUAAAAAAUUACCUGUUCCGACUUACAAAAAAAAUCAACUUAAGAACAAACCUACAAAACCUAUCUUGUUUGUAACAUGGGGACUGCCUGUACUUCCAGACUUCCUAUAUAAGUGAUUGCCCUUUGCAAUAAUGUGAUGCUUAAUCCUAGUGUACCAAGAAACAUCUCAGCAAGCAGCAUAUCUUCUUUUUAUCUACUGAAACUAGAAUUCACAUUUUAAAGGAGAAAAAAAUAACAAUCUCUUUGUCUUCACCUCCAGGUUAUGUUACUCAAAACAUACUUUUUGACCUUCAUUGUAUGUGAUAAUGGCAUUGCAAUUUUUCACUCAGGCCUGAAACAUAUGUUGACUUUCUUUUUGAAAUUAUAUGAGGAUUCUGAGCGAAAUGGUUAGUUUUCUUAUGAGCCUUCUACCUUUCCACACUACUCAAAGCAUCAAAUAGCUAGAACAAAAGUAUAUUAUGCAAUUUUUUUACCAGGCAUAGGUAAAUUUAUUGUGCUGUCUACAUUGUGCUGUAGAUAGCGCAAUGGAGUAAAUAAUGCCAAAUAUGGCCCGAGAUCUAGGAAGUAUUAGCAUUAACAUUCAGGUAACCAUGCCUUUUAAGGAUGUAAAUUAAAGCUCCCUGACAUUUGCAACCUACACCUAGAGCUUCUAAUGAGCAAAUAAGGUCAUUUGAAUGAGUCACUGGAGUGUGAUUGCCCAAGGCAAAGAUGUUUCUUUGUAGCUGCUUGGUUUGCUCUCUGCUUUGAAGUGCAGUUAUGUAACUGUCCCUGGUUAUUAGAAUUCAAGCUUUAUAUAAAAUGAAGACAAAGAAUUUAAUUUAGGAUCAGCGAAAUGCCAAGUUCCAUCAAGGUGCUUCAUCUGUUAAGGUUAAUAUCAGUAAAUGGAGAUGUUUCUUCCUGCUGUUGACAUGGGCCUUUUUGUAUUGUAUUGUAUUGUAUUGUUUUGUAUUGUAUUGUAUUGUGUUUAGUUGUUUUCUAGUGGAAUUCAGAUUUCUAGCAAUGUGGCUAGCUCUGUGGCAUGCAAUAUAAGGAACUGUUAUGGUUUCUUCACUGUCCCACAUAUGUGAUGUGUAUACACUAGAAUCUUCUUAAGCUACAAGAUUUCAGUGCUCAUGCUUUCCUCUUCUAGGUUUUGGUUUGGUUUGUUUCUUUAGCAAAUCUCAUAUGCAUUGCUCUUCAGAAGAUCUGUAAUAUGUGACUAUGGGUUAGUGGGAAAAAUUAUUUUCAGCAAAAGACGAAAUUCAGUGCCAGUAUAUCAACAUUGUUAAUGCACUAAAAUGAUCUAGGACUUUUCUAGUAGCCAAAUAGCUUAUGACUUUUUCCAUCUUAAUACAAGCUAAAAUGAGUAGUUUUGAUUAGCUGUGAGAUUAAAAUUAGUAUAAUAAUGCUGCUGUUACCAUUGUUGAAAUAUUUUAUUCUUUGGAUUUAAGGAUGAAGACAGAUAUUUCCUUAUCUUGUAUAUUUGAAAGAUAAAGUUAACUAAUAAUUGAUAAAUGAAGAAAUGAAGAUAAAAGCCUCCAAUAUUCAGACUGAUUAAAAAUAUAAUCACAAGGUGUUUUCAGUUUUAACUUCUAUUCCAGAAAACAUAGCAGCAGCCAGGGAAGGUAAGAACUGUACUUUUAAAUGUCUGGAGGAAUUGAGAUUGGUGGAGAUAACUUUUAUUAUUUAGGAAAAAUUGAAAGCUUAUUUGUGCAAACCUUCAAGCUAGCAUAUCAUCAUUGGCUAAGAAGGUAUCAACCAGUGUAGUGGCUGAUAUAUCCCAAAUUUCUAGAUACAUAUGUAUGUACUAUGUGCAACUAAAAAUAAAAUAAAAAUGAAACCAAUUCUUAUGGUUAUAAGAAUUGUGGAGGGUGUAGGUCCUGCCUAAAGUUUAGGGCUUUUUGUCAUUACACAAUUUAUGGUAUGAUGAUUUCUCUAAAACUGCUAUGUCUGCAUCCUGUGGAAUCCUGGCCUUUGUGGUUUCAUAUAGCACUAAAGUUCUUUGACUGGGAAUUUUAAAUGUUCCUCUCUAUAAACUGGAAAUUUCAGAAUUGCAUAAAAACCAUAGCAGUUAAAGUAGAACCAUGGUGCUAUAAUUGUAUAGUGUGAAUGGGCCUUUAUUUAGAAAAGGUUAGUCUGAACCCUUCCAGGAGAGGCAGUUUUUAGGUGUGAGAAUAAGCAUGUCCUCAGGGAAUGGGGGACUGCAAAAAUAGUCCUUGGGUGGCUGCAUACAGCUCCAUUUCCUGGCAGUUUUAAAUACAGUAGAAUCUCACUUAUCCAAGCCUCGCAUAUCCAAGCCUCUGGAUUAUCCAAGCCAUUUUUGUAGUCAAUGUUUUCAAUAUAUCGUGAUAUUUUGGUGCUAAAUUCAUAAAUAUAGUAAUUACAACAUAACAUUACUACAUAUUGAACUACUUUUUCUGUCAAAUUUGUUGUAUAACAUGAUGUUUUGGUGCUUAAUUUGUAAAAUCAUAACCUAAUUUGAUGUUUAAUAGGCUUUUCCUUAAUCCCUCCUUAUUAUCCAAGAUAUUCGCUUAUCCAUGCUUCUGCCGGCCCAUUUAGCUUGGAUAAGUGAGACUCUACUUUCAAAUAUGAAAGAAAUUGGUCCUGAACUAGACAUAUUUCUCAGUGGUUUGGGUCUCUUUGAAUGGAUGAAAGAGAAGUCCUUUUUUUCUUUUCUCAGACUCUGACGUAGUAAAUUCAUAAAAAUUCAAUGAAUACUUAUUAAUUUUGGGAUCCAUUUUUAUUUUACAUGCAAGACCAUUAUUAACAUUCUUUUUACAUUUUUGGUCUAGGAUAGGUAAUAAUUUCUUCUUGUCCUUAAAAACAGUGAGCAUGUUCAUUUGGUGGUAAAUAAAUGUAAACCCAGCCAUUAAAAAUGCCAGAGCAUUCAACAACAGUGAUAAAUGAUUAAAUCUAACAUAUACUUUGGAUCACAGAAGCUAAACAAGAAAUGCCAGUGGGAGACAUUAUCCCCACAUUCAUAAACUACAGUGACAUUAUAGAUGCAUUUCCUAGUACAAAGUUUUAAAAGGCACCAGAGAGAACAGUUAAACUUGUUCUUUAUAGGAUUAAGUGAGAUGUGACAAUAAAACAAAGGGCCAUUUAGACAUCUCUUUAAAAGCUACAAAUGUCCCAUGUGUAGACUGUGCAGCAUUCUGGUCUUUUGGGCUUUGCUAUUAAAUCAAAUAGAUAUAGCACUUAAAAACUAUUAGUGAAACUGAACUGUCACCUACCAAAGGUAUGUAUAUUAUCUUGUUAAUGUUAAAUCAGGUGCUGGACCCAGAGAGCGUGCAACUCCUCUGCAACAGCACUUGCACUGGCUGCCAAUAUGUUUCCAAGCCCAGUCCAAGGUGCUGGUUUUGACCUUUAAAGCCCUAAAUUGUUCCGGUCCAACUUAUUUAUCUGACUGCAUCUCCUAAUAUCAACCAGCCCACUCUUUAAGAUCUUCAGAAGAGGCUCUACUCUCACUUCCAUCACCAUCACAAAUGCGGCUGAUAUUGCCAAGGGAGAGGGCAUUCUUGGUGGCCACCCUGACCCUGUGGAACACCCUCCCAAAAGAAAUUAAAACAACUCCCUCUCUUUCUUCUUUUAAGAACCAAUUAAAAAAAACUUUCCUGUUUAGACAGCCUUUAGUGAAGUAAACUAAUCUGGAGUGACAAGAAACACCAUAAUGCUAUGGACUGGAGCAAAGUGCAAUAUAACUCGACAUGAUGUCACAUGAAUGUGAAUGUCUGUUUAUAGUUUUUUUUAAUUGUUUAUUUUAUGUUUUUAUAUUUAUUGAUGUAUUUGGACUGUUGUUUAUAUGAUUUUAAUAUGUUGUAAGCCGCUUUGGGUCCCAUGAGGGACAAAAGCGGGAUAUAAUAUAUUAUUAUUAUUAUUAUUAUUAUUAUUAUUAUUAUUAUUAUUAUUAUUAUUAUUAUUACAUUAUUAUUUCUAUUGUUGUUAUUAUUAUUAUUUCAUGCAAAAAUAGAGUGGACCCUUGGUAUCCAUGAGGGUUUGCUCUCAGGACUCCCCACAGAUACCAAAAUUCAUGUACCAUUAAAAUACAGUAGUGUAGAAAAGUGAUGUCCCUUGUAUGGACUGGCAAAAUCAAUGUUUGCUCUUUGGACAUUUUUGUUUUUAUUUCAGAAUAUUUUCAAGCUGGAGAUAGUUGAACCAUGGGCAUAAAAUCCAUGAAUUUGGAUGAACAACUCACUCUCUCUGUGUGUAUAUAUAGAGAGAGUGGGGGAGUAGGAGUUGGCUAUCCACAUAGAACAUGGACUGCAGUGUGCCUCUUUCAGACUUAAGAGUUCAGUGGCACUUUGGAGACUGGUUGACAUACUUUGAUACCAGCAUAGACAAGAGUCUAUCUUGGCAAAUACCUAAAAGCGAGUUUGUGUUUAGUAUAGAUAUAUGUUCCUCUGGGCAAAGUGCAAGGAGAAAAACAAGUUAACAAGCUAAGAACUAAAGAGAAUGUAAAGAGCACAUCUUGAUUCGUUUGCUGUGAAAGACAAAUGAAUUAUCUAAACAUUUCUGUGUUUACCAGAGCAUCCAUGCAUGAAUAUAACAAUUGCUGAAAAACAAAGUUGAUAUAUAUAUAUAUUUGGAUGAGAGACCUAGCAAAAAUCCAUAUACAAAGCCUAUGAAAUGGUGUCAAAACAAAACAUUCAUCUCUAGUAAUUGUUAUGUAACCAGUUGCUGUCAGUUACAGUCUGGAUAUAAAUGUGUGAUAUUUUAGCACAUAACUCUAAAGCAUGCUCGCUGUAGUGCACUUUUGUUCCUGUUAGAAAGUAUCAAAAAAGCUGAAGAUUCUGUAAUCAUGCAUGUGUCUGUUUUUCAUUCUCACAGUGUUUGUAUCUAUUGGGUUUUUUUGCUUAGUCCGCUUAGACCCAACAUUUCUUCCCAGCUCAGGAUUCAAAGUGGUUUACAACAUUAAAACAAAGAGCAACUAACCCAUUGAUAUUUUUUAAAAGUUAAACAAUGGUUCAGAUUAAAAACACAUAUCAAAGGUUGUUUUAAAAGCACAUUUAAAAUAUAAUAAAAAUAUACAGAUACCGGCUCAGAGUUCUUCCAGACAUACAUAAAACCCAUGCUGAAAUGGGUUAAAGUAACCCACUUCAGCACAGGUUCUAGUCCCCACGUAGGAGCCUCCGGUGGCCUAGGGGAUAAAAGCCUCAUGACUUGAAGGUUGGGUUGCUGACCUGAAAGCUGCCAGGUUCGAAUCCCACCCAGGGAGAGUGUGGAUGAGCUCCCUCUAUCAGCUCCAGCUCCAUGCGGAGACAUGAGAGAAGCCUCCCACAAGGAUGGUAAAACAUCAAAACAUCCGGGCGUCCCCUGGGCAACGUCCUUGCAGACGGCCAAUUCUCUCCAGAAGCAACUCCGCUUGCUCCUGACACGAAAAAAAAGUCCCCACCUCCUCCCACAACCCCAAGAUUUCCCUCUUGAUGUGGCUACAUGCUAUCCCGAUUGAAAUCGGGAUAACAUGAAACUACUCCGAAGCCCCUGAUUUACCCCCUUAAAACUUACUGCAAAGGGGUCCCUGGCCACCAUGGAGCCUCUUCUUGUGUCAUCCUGAGGUGAGUUAUUUGUCAAACAUUCUUGACCUUUUAGCAUAGCAGUAAGUGUUUAUGGAAAGAGAUUCACCCCUAUUGUGGGUGUCAUUACAUGUCACCAUAAAGAACAGUGCCCACAUUCCCACUUCCCUCUUACCAAUAGACCCUUAAACAGGGAUAUUUCUUGGCAUCUUGUUGUCUGCAACUUGGGUGAAGGGGAGAAAAUUCUGGUCCUACUUUAAGAAACAUGGAAAUGGUCUUCAGUGGACAUUUUCUUAACAUGGAUAUAACUGUAUAGAAGAGUAAAGCUGGAAUAAACAGCUGGCCCAGUUCUAGUUAGGCCUAUUUCAAAGCAACUCAUAAAGGCCAACAUGGUAUAGGUCCAGGCCAUCUGAAAAAUUGUAUCUCCCUAAAUGAACCUGCCAGAAUCUUGAGAUCCAUGACAGGAAUUUCUUUUGGUCCCACUACCCUCAGAUGCUGAUUUGAGAUAGACUUUUCAAUCAAGCUUCUAACUUGUGGAGUUGGCUUUCACUGGAAGCUAGUCUGCCCUCCUCUCCACACACACAGCUUACACACAAACACAUUUUGAUUGCAGGCAAAGAUUUUUUUUUUUAUUUAUACAGUUAUUUAAUGAUAACUUGAUUGCAGAGAGUUUUUAAUGGGCUAUGAGUUAGUGUGUUUUAUGUGUUAUGUUUUUUAAAUGAUUGUACUCUCCAAAAUGUAAUUAUCUUUUAAUAUGAUUAAUUCUUUAUUUAUAUUGUCAGGUUUUAGCUUAUCUUCUUUUAGCCUUUUUGUAAACCACUCUGUGUUCCAUUCUGGGAGAAGGCUGACAUAUGUGAUAGAUAAUUAUUAGAUAGAUAGAUAGAUAGAUAGAUAGAUAGAUAGAUAGAUAGAUAGAUAGGCUAUCUCAAGCUUGGUUGGUGGGAACAAGACAGUGGGUCUUCUCAGUGGCUGCCACUCAACUCUUGAACUCUAUACCCAGGAAAGCCAGGAUGACUCCUUCCCUGCUGUCCUUCCGAAGGCAGGCCCAAACCUUUUUCAUUCAAACAGGCAUUAAAAAAGAAGGUUUUUAUGAUCAUGUCAGGAAAUGCUGUGGUUUUAUAUGCUUUUAUGGAUUUGACUUGAAUUGUUUUUAAUAUUAAUAAUGUUUAAUAUUGUGUUUUAAUAUUUUUAUAUUGAUAUAUUUUAAGUUGUGUUGUAGUGCUUUGAAUUGUGAGCCGCUUUGAGUCUCCGUAUGGAGAGAAAAAGUGGGAUAUAAAUAAACAUAAAUGAAUAAAUAAAUGAAUAAGGAGGAAAGACUCAGGCAUAGCAGGUCUGAUCACAGAUGUUCGUCGCAAUAGGGAAAGCCAUUGGAAGGUGAUAAUGGAGGACACCGGUGGGGUUUUUUUUUCUUCAUUUUUUUGUGCCAUCAUUUCUGGCUGUUUCUUGGCAUAAUUUGCCUUGAGGGAGUUUGCUGAGAGAGUAUUUAUUUAUUUACAGUAUUUAUAUUCUGCCCUUCUCACCCCGAAGAGGACUCAGCGCGGAUAACAAUGUACAUAUAUAUGACAAACAUUCAAUGCCAUUAGACAAACAACACAGAGACAGACACAGAGGCUAUUUAACUUUUCAGCUUCUGGCUUUGUGAGGGUAUGCUCGAUUCUGGCCACAGGAGGAACUGCUGCUUCAUCAUCCACUGUGACAACGAGUUUUUUUAAUGGAGUACUUCCUCAUCCGGCACACACACUGCUGGAUUUUUUUAAUGGUGUGAUUUGAUCAAGGUCGCCCAAUGAGUUUCCAUGGCCAAGCAGAGAUUUGAGCCCUGAUCUUUCAUUCUGACAUUAAAAUCACAUGGGCGCAUAAGCCUUUCUCCAUGCUAUUGUAGUGGAUUUUUUACUACCUUGUAACUUCAUUUGAAAAAUCUGAGAAGACAACUCCUUUUGCACUUUUCUUUUAUAUUAAAACCACUUCACUGCACUGGCUCAUAGGCCUUUUUCACUUCGUGCUGUUACAAUCAGGUGGAAAAAAAGUGAAAAAGGUGAUUGUGAGGUAUUUGGUCCAGAUAUUUUUAAUAACAUUCCAAAGUAAUAAAGAGAUUACAUUAUGUUAUUAAUUGGAAUAACAAUUUUUAAUAUAUGUGUUCAUUCACAAAAUGCAUUACUUGUGUAAUGGAAAAAUGAACCCCUAUUAAUUGAAAUGAUUUUUUUUUAGUUAUAAUGCUAUGCUAUAAAUCAGUCCAUUCUCAAAUCAUUAUUUAAAAUAGGAUAGAAAUUGUGUAAGCAGCAAUCUUACAGUUUAAAAUUAUAUAGUUCAGCACAAUUUGUAACUUUCUUAAAAUGUCUUUCUUAUUUAUAAUAAACUGCCUGAAAACAGGGAUUUUAUCACAAAGUAGCAGCAGUGAAAAUGAUGGCAGAAAAACCUGUUAAUUUGAUCCAAAAGCCUAGAAUUUAUAUGUACAGUUUGGCAUCACUUAAAACCAAAUUGAAUUAAAGAAAUAAGAAAACGUAAGACAAGUAUAAUUCUUCAAAUCAAUCACUUGGUAUUCUUUAACAUUUGGAUACAAAUUUAUGUUUGAUUAAACAGCCAAAUGUUUGUUUGUAAUUUUUUAAAAAUUGGCUCUGUUUAAGACUUCUCACUGACAGCUUGAUGCAUAAAUAAAAGCAAUUGCAGCUUUUCAAUAAAGUUCAGUUUGGCUGAAAAACUAUAUUGUCAAAAGAUAUAAAUGAUAAGAAUUCUGUUAGCAUCACAAUCCUCAAACUUGAUCAAAAGAGCGAACAAACAUUGGAGCCUUAGAGCCCUUUGAAUCAUCAAAAGAGCAAGCAUGGCUUCAUUCUGCUCUAAUCCUAUUAGCAGAGGUUCUAUCAAAAGGUUUUUUCUCUGGUUCAAAAUUAAGGUUCUGGAACAUUGUUCUUAACAUGUUACUGUUCUGUCUCAGACAUAAGUUUUUUGGUUUUUUUCCCCCACUGUUUCCUUCUGUCAGUAAAACAUUUUAAAAACAAGGUCAGUUCCCUGGUUAGCUUUAAAUUGCUCUUGACUUUUAGGCUGAAAAGUCUCCCUUAAAUUUUGUCAAUGCUAUAUUUCAUUAGGUUUUUAGAACUAUCUAAGAUGAUAGUGUUGUUUGAUAUUUUUGAAAAAAACGUUCAGUGUGAGAUUGUUAGCACUUAUUAACUUCACAGAACAAAGAAAACAGAUUGUUUUUCUGCACAAUCAUGAAAGAAAUAUUGAUCAGCAAAAAUGUGAUACCUGCUCAUUAAUACUUGAGGCUAAAUCCAGUUUUAAUUCCAAAUGCAGCAGGCCCACUGAAGACUUGAGUCUAUGCUCCAAUAAGUCGUGUUCAUUUUAAUGAGUCGACUUUAAUUGGAACUAAAAUUGGAUUUAGCCUUCGUGUCAGGGUGGGAAUUAUGCAGGCUUCCAGCUGUUGUUGGACUACAGGUCCCAAGUUCACAAGUAUUGACAGUCGCCCCAGUGGUCAUUCACAAAGGCAAUGAUAGGUGAAUGGGCUGUAUUCCACUUGGGUUUCUGAGGCCUUAUAACAGUGCUUACACCUUGCAGCUUGUAUUCACUGGCAGAAAACACUAAUAAUUUUUGGUGCCAAUUUUCAAAAUACUUCUUCACAGGAUAGCUUGAGGGCCCACAAACAAGAGAUAGGGGGACAUACACAGUCUACAAGCUACAAGCAUUAUAAGAGAAA